CAGCGGGGAGCGGGCCGUGCCAGGUGGCCCCGGGGACGGGCGGCCCCUCCAGCCAUGGACCUGUCCCCGUGCCUGCACUGGAUGCGGAAACGGCUCUGGCGAUGCAGGGUCAGGCGGCGGCGGUUCUGCACUGCAGGAAUCAAAAAGGUGUGAUUGAAAGGAACAAAAGUGGAUCAGUGACUUGUGAAAUACCACAGUGGAGAAGAUGUCCUGAACCUUCCCACUUCUUUGGCUGGUAGAAGCCAUGCACACCCCUGAUAAAAAUGUAGGCACACACAUAUGUAUCUAUAUAUAGAUAUAGAUAUAUAGAUAUCCUUACUGCAAGUUGCUGGGGUACAUUGUCCACCAUUCCACCAUGGUUUUACUGGAGGUGGUUUGCUUGACUUCCUUGACAGACUACAUAUACAGAGAUCCAAACACUUCUGGCUGAUUUAUUCAGGAUCCCUUUCAGCUGGCACCUUGGAGAGAAAUGCUGCCAGUGGUUCUGCAGAGACUCUGGAAGGGUAAUGCAUCUGUGAUGAACUGGGGAAAGAGAGGGGAUUUCUUUGGUUUGGUCAACUGCAGUGUCUAAUCACCCCUGAGAAGAUGCAAUGCAAUGGCUUGGGAAGAUAGGCUGGGUUGGCUGGCCAAAUGAAGCAUCCUCUCUCCCAUCAAGCAUGCGACAUAUUGUGAAAGGGAUCUUGGAAUGAGAAUGCCGUUCAGAACACAAUGCAAGAGGAUGAAUAUGAUAAAAUGAGCAUACUGUCUGUCAACAUCUCUGCCUUGAAUUCAUGUCAUUUUACUAUCCUAGUUUAGCUAUGGAGAUAACAAGGUCUGCUUGAAUUUUUCUGACUCAUAGCAUUGCAGCGUAGACAUGCAACUCUCACAGCUACCUUCUUAAAUAUUGUUUUGUCAUGAGUUCAACUCCAGUUUCAGAUGCAAAAUAUUACUGAUAGAUGUCAGAAAGACUGAUUUUCCUAGUUGUCGGUUGACUGUACUCAGAGUUCACUGGUUUUAAAUGCUUUUAUCUUUGUUAGUAUUUUGGUGUGCCACAGCUUUAUGGUCAAUUUUCUGGUUGCUGAUGAAGUAGAAAUAUAGAAGCACUUUUGUUUCCUGUCCACUUAGAAUUAUGUUCACCUUUUCCAUAUGAAGUACCC
rnacentral:lncRNA from 1 species